UAAGGCCUCGCGCGAUUGGAGCGGCCGAUGGCAGAUUAGGUAGUUGGUGGGUAAAGGCUCACCAAGCCUGCGAUCUGUAGCUGGUCUGANAGGACGACCAGCCACACUGGAACUGAGACACGGUCCAGACUCCUACGGGAGGCAGCAUGGGGAAUUUUGGACAAUGGCGCAAGCCUGAUCCAGCCAUUCCGCGUGCAGGAUGAAGGCCUUCGGGUUGUAAACUGCUUUUGUACGGAACGAAAAGGUUUCCUUAAUACGGAGAGCUCAUGACGGUACCGUAAGAAUAAGCACCGGCUAACUACGUG
rnacentral:rRNA from 1 species